GGAACACACCAUUCCCACCAAUCACGCGGCGCGGCGGCGGAACUGCGGCGGCGGCGCUGCCGUGCGCAUGCGUAGAGCGUGAGAUAAGUCGCGGCCGCGAGUAGGGUGGGUGUAGUAGGAGUGGUGGCGCGAGCUUUGGCACUGAGGAGCGUCAUCAAUGCGCGUGGUGGGGGUGGGCUGAUGUUUGGAUUUGGUGAUCUUAAUGAGCUUUUCCAACCUGAAUGAUGCUAUGACCGAGCCGCCACGUGGUCACCAGUUUUACUUCAGGCAGAACUGUGUUGGAAGAGCAAAGGCUCAGUACCUGCCCCACUUCAGAUCUUCUACGUGACCAGCUGGAAAUUUCAUGAAUCACAGGUGAGACCUGCACAGAGAGCUUCUGCAACAGUUUCAUUUGGACAAGAGGAGCAAAAUAGUCCUUCAUCAGUACUAAAAGCUAUCUUGAAGCUCUUAUUAAACUGCCAGUGCAGAUAGUCUCCACUUCUACUAUUUUGUUACAACACUUUGAAACUAUAAUCUGCACACAGCAAGGAAUGUGAAUGCCUGUGCUACAUCAGUUGUGUAAAAUAGCAUUCAUUUCUUUUUCUAGAGAAGUACUGUUAGCAGUAUUCUAAGUAGUACAUGCUCUCCCAGUUUGAUUAAAGUGCUAUUCUCAAAUGUAAAGCCUCUUUCAGUGUUUCAGUAGGACAGACUGCUCCAGGUAUGAUUUGCAAGUCUUGAACAUGCAUCACCCUGUAUUUUCAAAGUAUUCCUGAGGGAUGGUAGGUCAUAAUAAACAACACUACUUGCUGACAAAUAAAUUCAAGUCAUACUAUAAGAGAAUAUUGUUGAAUACACAGAUCUGACCGACUUAAUAUGGUUUCUGUCUGUUGGAAAUCAUGGUUAAAAAGAUACGGUCAGUUAACAUCUGAAAGUUGAAUGUUUGACUUGUGUAAAAGGAAGUGAUUAAAUAAGUCCUGUAGAAAUAUAUUUAGUUCAUACUUCAUACCUGCAACAGACAAAUUCAAUUCUCCUUCCGCUUGCAAAUACGAAAAUAAUUGUUUCUGAACGUGAAGUAGGAUAGGGUAGCCACAGAGAAGGCUGAGGCUUCAUUCCACCUUUAACAGAAUGUGUCAUGAUUUGACUGAAGUUUACUGAAAGAAGUAGCAAGCAGAAAAGUCAGCUAGCACACAAAUAGACUUGUGCCCUUCAAACUAAUGAGCUUACCAGUGGCAUUCUCUGGAAUUGGUGCUCUUUUGGAAUUGCAAGGAACUUUUAUACCAGUUGUAUGUUGUUGUGCUUAAAGCAGUGUUCCUAUGGAACUGAUUUUCUGACCAGGCUGUGUCAUGGAAAGGAAAUGUAACUUGAGGAAGUACAGCUGUGGUGGAGGAACACGUGUACUGGGCCCUAAGACCUGACUCUUGUAACAAGAACUAGAACAACAAAGACAAGAGAAGGAAAUUAAGGAAAGAAGGAUGACUCACAACUUGUAUAUUGAAGAUCACAUUCAGAAAUGGUGACAAAGAAGCUAUGAACAAAUCAAGAUUGAAAAAAAAGAAAAGAAAAAACAGCAUUUAUGCCAGGAAAACUCAAUUGUUUGAGUGCUCAUGGAAAAGAAAUGCAAGAGCUGCCUUGGUAUCACUAAAGCAAGUUCACUGAAAAAUAGGACACUUUGAGAAGGACUCAGAAACAGCAUUUGGAAUGGAGAACUCAAACUGCAUUGUAGGCCGAACUAAUGCCUGAUAUUUAAGUAUAGGGGAGAUGUGGAGUUCUGAAGCUGAAAUUGAGAAGCCUGGAUCUGACAUGGAAUGUAAAGGAAUGACAAAACUGGAUGCCAAGAGGCGUUUUCAGCAGCAGUAUUGCCAGGACACUGAAGAAACCAGAGAGACAAGCAGGAAAAUGGGAAAUGUCAAAAGUCUCUACCGUGGUCUCAGGAUCAGAGAGAGGAAGGAUGUUUCAGAGAACAAUCUGAAAGGGAAAUGUGAGAUUUGGCAGCAGGUUAGCUAAGGAAGAAAUAAGAGUGAAAGAAGAGUCAGCUUGGGGAGUACUGUAGGCUGUCUCUACUGUAAGAUAAAUUCACAGCAAGCCCAGUAUGUCUAAGCAGUAUGAAUGAGCUUGUAUUUUAAUGCCCAAGAGGUGAGGGAAAAAAUAAAUUUCCUUUGGUUGAGAAGACAAAAAGUGGCUUCUUUCAUCCACCUGAGAAGGAGUAGGGCUGCAGGCACGGUAGACAAGAAGUCAGAUGCUGUGGCAUGCCAACUGCCAAGACACCUAGCAAGUCUGUCUUUCCUUGUCCUCCUGUGUUGUUUUUUUAUCACCCUGCUGGUCUGCAAGGUUAUAUGCUGCUUCUUUUUUUCCCCCAUCCUGAUUACUGCUUGCUUUGCUAAUAAGGGAAUAAUGAUGAGGAAGUAUGUCAUACAAAUUGUUAGACAAAGAUAAGGAUGGCUACAGGGAUAGCGCCAACUGAGAAGGCAGCAACAGUGAAAUUGACUGUUUUUAGUAAUCACAUGAGAAGAAAUACAUGCUUUUGUUUUCAGAGUAAACAUUUUACUGUCUAGAUGGAAAAGUCCAGCAGCCAAAGUUGUUAUUACAAGCUGAUUUAAAGACACAGGUGAGGAAGUACUUGAAGAUAUUUGUUUGCUUCGUGUUGGCUUUAUAAGACGUGGCUUACUGGUUUCUGAAGGCUUGAAAAUGUCUUGCAGUUUUUCAUGUUGACUGGUAAAUCCUUUUGUGCCUAGAGUGCCAUCCCCUCAUAGAGUCACUGUUCAUAAUACUGAACUAUGACUGUAUAUGAGAAGGAUGGUUGUACAAUCAGAGGAUCUGAAAAACUGCUAUGUCUGUUGUUCUUAAUACUCUUAAGGCUUUAUAAUGCACUGUAUUUUCUGAACUGAUGCAAGAACAAGCCUUUGAUGAUAGAAAAACUGCAGUUUAUAGUACAGAAGGAAGUGUGAAUUGAUUUUGCCAAUUUGGGAAAUGAAAUAGGCAGUACAGAAGUUCUUAGACCCACUUUCCCAGUUGAAAAGCACUUAGGUAAAACUGGACAAAAAGCCAGAGGAGAACUAAGUGAAAUUUCACACUCAGUGAGAUGCCUCACGUCUGAGCAACCAGCCAGACCUUAGUGUUUUAAUAUCCCUAAUCUAUUCUGUGCUUUAAUGAGAUCUUGAGCUAUUGGCUCUGAAGAUUAUUAGUGCCCUGGUGAAUAGCCAUUCAAUCUUCAGGCGUGUGAUGAGAAUUUGCUUCCUCUUUCAAUCCUUCAGCUUCUUGGCUAGAAUUUAUUAUUUCCCUAAAUAAAAGCAGCUGCAAAAUUUCAUUAGGUGUUAUAGUACCCCUUUCUGCUGUAUUUAACCUUGUCUCAUUAAAUAGAUUACAUCCUUGCCUCUUGUAAUUAAGUGCAAAUCAAACACAAUAUUUUAAUAUUAUAUUAAAAAUGUAAGAAAUAGGACGCCUUUUCAGCUGCCAUUCUGAAAUUCCUGAAGGCAGGAGUGCUACUUUGACAGUGACAAAUUCUUCCAGAAACAUCUGGUCUAUAAAGUACAUUUUCUCCUUAUAGAUCUGAUAGUAAAAUCAUAAAUACCAAAGACAAAGUGUUCUGUUCUGUCACACUUGAAUUCCAUUUAAAGAGAGUUCUUUAUCUAUUUCAUCUGUUCAGUAUCUGAGUGAUUUAACUACCUGCAAAGGCUUCUGUUGAGUAUGGGUUUUCUGGACACCAGCAAUCUUAAAUAUUAGAAGAGCCCAGGCUGUAGAGAAAAAAAAAAAACAUGAAUCUAAUAAUGGGUUGUGUAUUAAUUCAGCAAGCCUUUGGUUUUAUUUAAUAAGCAAAGAAAAAUUAUACUUCCACAAUCUACUGAGAGUCCAGUCAAACUAUGUGAUAAAUACUGACAAGAAAAAAUUAUCUUGCAUGUUCUAAAGUUGGGUCAAGAGAAGCACUAUGAACCCACACCUUCCUUAUGUGAACUUGCUAAGUCCCACGUCUAAAUUUCAUCCAUUUAACAUUUGUCACAUAACUGGGGUCCUUCAGUUAAGUUCUUUGCAGAAAUAAAAGAGGAAUUGUCUGUUUGAGGGCUUUGAUGUUGCAUCUCUCUUGAAAGCACCUUUCUCCCUGUGCUGACUGUAAGGUUGUGCAGGGCAGCAGUGCUGAUCUGAAGUUGGAGAUGUAAGUUCAGUGGUAUUCUCUGUGCUCAAUGUAACCAAAAUGCACUGUGUGUCUCCAUCCUAUACCUUUGGAGUUAAGCAUUAGGUAAAUAUAGAGCAUUUCCCCAAGUUUGUUUCAGGUAUGAACUAUGUGUAUGCUAUUAGCUAUCUCUGUAUCCAGGAGAGAUUUAUGUUGAUAAUAUUAUCAUUAACUCUAAUUUGAUUUCAAACUGAGUCACUGAUUACAUGGUUUCUAAGUCUCAGAUUCUGCUUCCUUGGGGAAGCAGAGGUGAGAAAGUUUGCAUGCUAUUGCAUAUAUAAUUAAAAACCACUUCCCAUUAUGUAUAUAUGCUGUCCCUGCCCUGCUAUACUGUCCUUUGCUCCUUUGCACCUUUUCCAUCCUAGCUGGUAGUGAUGCAGCAGCAGUCAGUCCGUUCUGUUACGUGUGCCUGAGUCGGGCUGCAGCCUUUUCUUAACAAGAGCCAAGGGCAGGUAUCAUGCUGCUCUGAUUUACCUGCAUGGCUGCGUUAGACCCAGUCAUUUCAAAGUUCUUAAUGAUGGCAAUUUAUCAAACAAGCCUUAAAAUAAUAGGCACUGUUUCCAAAAUGCCAUGGCAUUAGCAACCCACUCUUUAUGGAGUGGCAUAAUGUUUUCUUAAAAAAAUAUGUAAUGGACAAAUAAAUAACAACAACGACAAAAAACCUCAAAAAGAAAUAAGAAAAACACCUCCCCCACCCCAUGUUUGGAACAAGCUCGAUACGUGGUAUGUUUUCACAUUGUUUAGUACAGUCUGAAAAUUGCCUAAGUGCACAAAAUGGGUCACCCUGAUUAUGUUUUGAGGCUGUGAAUUCUUGCAAGAAGUUGUUAAUGCACGAGCAGUCCUGCUCAGCAGAGUACGUUACAGCAGGAGCACGGCUACAGCUUACUGUGGGAGGUGGGAAGUGGCUCAGUUUGAGAUCGGAUGAGAACAGCCAACUACUUCACCUGAAAAGAUCUCUCUCUAGAGGAAGGUCAGGCUAAUUCUGCUAGAAUCGUGCAAACCAGUAAUUUGAAGUGCUCCUUGCAGUGAAUCGAUGGAUGUGCAUUACUUUGUGAAAGUGUGCAUUAAUGUUUGUAAGUAUUAACACUUAAAAUACAUUCCUUGCUCUCUCUUAGUUGAUAAUGUCAUCUCUGGAAGUGUUUAGCAAAUUAUAAAAUGUAAUUAAUACAUAUAUUUGUGUGUGCAUGGCUUAUAUUUGUCUCUUUUUGAGAGGGCAAGCCUUAGGCUGAAGUGCUUGCUAUUUUGCAAAGCCUUGAGGACUGUACUGACCUGGUAAGUCAGAAGUUGUUCCAUCUUCUGUUUUGACAGUAGGAAUAGGAAGAGAAUUGCUUUCCCUACAGUGCCAAAGUGAGAAGGAACUUAACACUGAUCUGUGAGCUUUUUAGCUCUGUAGGCUGUGUCAGUGUAGGAAAUUGUAUGGAUGAAUGGAUGCGGAUCUACAGAAACAAGCAGGUGUUGGUGCAGGCUCAAGGUACUCAGUAUAUAUGCAUUCAGGAGGGAUGAGGGAUUUAACGAUGAUCUGAUCACUUAGGAUCUUAUUUUGUGAACUGAAUGCUUAUUUACGGUUGAAGUGCACUUCCUAUUUAGUUUCAUCUGAAAGGAGUCUAGGUAGUGCACGCCAGAAGUAAUCCACCGUAUGAGCCAAAGCAGGUGAGUGGGGACAGUCAGGAGGUGUACUUCUAAUAAAUGGGUUUAUUUCUUAGGAAAUGUCUUGGCUCUACUGUUAUUGCUCUAGCACGAUUAAGGUCUUGGCUACUGAAGUAUAUUGGUGGAAUGUGAGAAGCAAUCAAAACCAAUUCAGCAUCCUGGUAGUUUUGCUAUGGCUCAACAGGAGCUGGAUCUGAGAAUGAGUGAGAGAAGCAGUCAGUCUCUAUUGUUCGGCCUCUGUGAGUAAAAACAUAACAAUUAGAAACUGGAAAAGGAGUUAAUGCCAGGCUUGCGCUGGUAAUGAUUGACUUUUCCAUUCAUGUGGCUGCAUAUACAAGGCCAUCAAGAGAUGAGGAAUAAGGAUUGUAUUUACCAAACUCAGUGUAUUUCUGUGAGCUCUGUACUUACUGUUGCUGCACUAAUGUGGCUAUUUCAGGACUACUGGUUUGUAAAAUAAGAUACUUCAUUUUUACCAUCACUCAUAUAAGCUUGGCAUUCUACUGGCAUUGCAUUAAGGAUAUAAAUUCAUCUUCUGAAAAAACAAACAUUGAUAGUAUAAGAAAUUGGAAAUUGCUAAUAUUAACUUCAAAUGAUAAGGUGUCAGCUAUUACAAAUUCUAUGGGGCACAGUGUAAUUUGGAAACAAAAGAGACAGCUAAAAGUAAGAAUAUAUGUUUUCAACAAACCGUGUGGCCGUGCUGUACCUUCAGCACAAUAUAAUCUCAUGGAUUAGAGAAACUUCUACUUAACCCUCCAGUAUCAGGGUUCAUGUUGCUCAUCUGUCCACUUGCUGCUUGCAGAAUGGAGCUCAUCACUAGCUGUCACAGGAAGCUUAGUCAGCUCUGUUAAAUAUAUAGGAUGUCUGAUUUUCAGCUGUAUGAUGAAGCUUAACAUCUAAUCUUAAUGUUGGGUACAGUCAGCUGUAAAGGAAAAAGCUGUUUGGAAAGCUCAGAACUCGUAUGGCUGAGCAGAAUUUGCUUAUAACGCCGGUGAAGUAGUACAGGUCUCAUGAGCUAUGACCGCUGAGUGAGUUUAAUUUCUAUGAUAUCAUAAGUGCGAUUCUCUCAUGCUUUCCAAGGCUAAGUAAGGUGUAGCUAUAAUCAAACAUGUAGCCAUUAAAGCUGCUUAGUCCUAGAGUCAGAUUCAUUUCCUGUCUUCAAGCACUAGUGGACUGUUGAAAUUUGGGAUGCAGGCCUACGAUGACACAAAAUGCGUUAUAAUAUACUUGGUGGGAACCUCUGCCAUUAUUAUUAUUUAUUUUUUAAAUGUCAGUUGUCAAACUGGAAACGUUUUUCAGGGAAAAAAAAAACAAAAAACCCAAAACAUUUUACUGAGGAUUUCACAUGCACAGUUUUGGAAUUAUAAUGACCAUCCAGAAGGAAUUUAAUUGGUGAUGAAAUUCAAACUUAGUGCAAGUCAUUUUUUUUUUUAAUGGAGAAAAAAAAAAAAGUCUUGUAUUUAAUCUGGAAUAAAAAUACUUUUGAGAUCUCAAAAAUAUUGGCAUCUUUUUUCCUGUGCAGGCUACUGAGAACUGGGCUUAGUCCAGAAAACCGGUGGCAAUGGCUUGGAAAUGCACGGAAGCACAUAAUCUUGCAAAUCAAGCUGCUAAUGGAAACUGGGGUAUGUCAUUUUUGCUCUCUAUUCCAAGUUUGUUGGUAGCUACCAUCUGGAAUUUAAAAACAUUAAUGAUGAUUAUGAGAUUAGAAGGAUAAAAAGCCACAGCAGCUCUCAGAUAUUACAGCAGAGCUUUUCCCAUGUGCCUGAGGGAAAAGUACUGUAUCCCGUGCAGAAUAUUUUCAGAUUAUUUUAAUUCAGUUGAUUUUUAUUUAUGCAUAUAUUUUUAAUGAUUGAACAAUUGUUCAAAGCCUUUAAAAAGGAUAAAGGGAAACGUUGGGUGCAUAAUUCAUGUGCCAUUUGCAGCCAACCAUCUUGCACAACCAGGAAGGUUCAGAGGAAGAAAAGUACAAUUCAAAAGGAGAUGCUGGGCUGUGAAAUAAGGAAAGAAGCAAAAAUCUCACACUUCCACAGUUUGAACUGUGAAAUGUUAAUUAAGUAUAAAGGAAAAACAUGUUGAAGCUUCAGAGCAUUAUGUCCAAGGCAGAGGAAGUGUCAUGGUUAAGGGUGAAUAUGACUGCAACAUGGCAUGCUGUCUUGCACAGUCAGUUGACUGGAAAACAGAUCCUGAUGCACAGGAUGGAAUGAGCAGGUCUGACUGGCGGGGACAAGGAAUGGAGGUGAAUGGCAGUGGGCAUUCUUCUUUUCUUCUUUUCUUUUCUUCGACAGGUGCCAUCCAAGGUAGAUCCUCAGUCACUGGGUAGGUACCAAACUGUGCCAGGCGUGUAUCCCCUUCCUCUGAAAUGCAACAUUUUGGGGGAAGAGCAGAGAGCCUGCCCAGGCACUCAGUGGGCUCAGUCCAGCCAGGAAUGCUUGUUUUGUUCAUGUUAAGAAGGAUGAAAGAAGGGCAAAGUGUGUGGAAAGUAAGCCCUCACUUAGAAAAAGAAUUUCUGGCUCAAACUAGGUGUAAGCAAAGUUCAUGCAAAUCGUGUUCUAUUAGCAUAUAUGCUGUUUACUUGGGUUUUUUUUUUCCUAGUGCUUUUGUCCUAAACUGGUUAUUUUGGAUUGCAAAUGUGAGGCAGUGAUCAGCUGGUUUUCUGUCAUCACCUGAAGGAGCCACUCUGUGGAUGCUGAAGUGCACUCAGAACACAGGAGAACAGUCACCACGAGUUACAGGGAGACCUCAGAUCAGUGUCCUGCUCAGGAAGAAAAGAAAGAGGUUCUGAUCAGAGGAAGUUGACAGCUUGUCCUUAAAAUUAGACAUGCCCUUGAGGAAACCACACAGGGAUCACAAUUUCCAUCAGCUCCAGAGACGUAGUAGUUGCUAGAGGGGUCAUUUACUUAAGUGGUUGGUACUUUCUGGAGUAUAUAUAAAGAAAAGAAAGUAAGCUAUUACAUUAAAUAGCUCUUAAGUAGGAUGGAACAAUGAGGUUGGUGAAAAGUAGUGUUUAUAAAUGUUACUGAAGAAAAAAUAAUCAGCAGAUGAAGAAGUACAGUUAUUAACACAAAUGAUUUCCAUGCAUGGAUUUGCAAAGCUCUUAGUCCAAACAAACGAUUUAGGUAAUGCCAGUAGAGAUGGAUGGCUGUUCCUACUGAGCACAGAAUUAAGAGAAAAAGAAAGCUGGUGACAUCAGUAUCAUCUGAUUGAAGGUGAACCUAAGCUAAAGAAAUCUGGAAGUGUGUUCAGCCCAGAGCACAACCUGGCAUUACACAAAGCUGUGUGCUGGAGAGGUUAGGGAAGCCGGACAGCUGAUAUCCAUCAAGGAGAGAGAGCUCUUUCUGUGGUGGGCUGGCUAAUUGUUUGUUUAGGCAUUCAGCUGGGUUGCAGAAGACUUGUGUUUGGUUUCAGGUUUGUUUAAAACACCCUAUGCUCCCUGGACCGUUAAUUAUUUGACCUCUGUUGUGGUUCCUAUGUAAGAUGUUGGUAUAAUAGUUCUUUUCAUUGAGGAUAUAUGCUGGUAACCAACCGAAAAGGUCACUGCCCAGGUGCUGUUACUCUGUGUUCCACCCUAUAAAAGACAGAGAAACCAGAAUGGGUGUUUUCUUUCUGUAAGCUUCACUAAUGAAAUCUAUUCUCACUGGAGCUCAUUGAUCAACGUUGUUUGAUGAAUGGUUAUUUGCUUGAUCUAAUGUUUACUGAAGUCAGCAGAAAUCUUUCACUGGACAUUUAAUUUUUAUUUUUUUUCCUGUCUUGCUGCUGUGCUUUAUGGCCAAUGAACCGGCGGAGGAAAAAUGCUCAGGAAUAAAAGCCCUUGGGAUGAGUAUGAAGGAACAGAGAUCUUCAGGGUUAUACAGUUUGUAGCUUUAAAGUAAUGAUAACUUCUUUCAGUUCCAGUUGGAAGACCCCAGAGGCCAAGAUUAACCUUAAUACAACACGUAGGUAAAGAGCAGGAGGUGGAGGAGCACGUGGUACAACAAAGGGUCAUGUCUGGAAGAUGGAGGGAAGGGGGAGCAAACCAAAUAAUUGGUUAUUAUUAGCAACUAAUUACUGUAGAUACUAUGAAUCUUGUGAGAAGCAAUACUGAAAUAGCCGCUGUGGUUUUUAGUUGGAUUAAGCUGUAUUUCAGUCUCAAACUUGUGAAGCUGCAGACACAUAACAUGUGCUGAAGCACAGGUUUAGCUUCUUUAAGAAAUAGAGGUUACAGGUGCAUGUGAUUGUACAUGUACAGCAAAUUCUUUUGUUUUCAAGAAAAUCUUUUAAUUUGAGCUUGAAACUGGAUCCUGCUGGCCUUAUUUUAGACUAGAAGUCUAAAGACUGGAUAAAGAUAGCCUUGCUUUAGUGCAGCAGCAGCAGAUGAAUCUCUGACUUCUCACAAGGUGGUGAUAGCAGUGUGGGUUCUUUGCAAUGCCUAUACUGGAAAAUACUUUCACCAAGGCAGAAUCAGACAGUAAUGAAUUAAUUCCAUUGUGUAGUUCAUCUACUUUGCUUGAUGUGGAUGGUUCUUUUCUGGCAUUGUAUGGCAAUCAUCGUUUUGGUGUGUUUAGACUCUCAUCACAUCAAGGUCCUGAUUUAGCAAAUACCUGGAACAGAAUCUCUAAGUACUGGGAUGUUCUAUGAAAUUGAACAUGUCAUUCAAGUGCUUUAAGGAGGCUUAGUGUAAUUUACUCAUUUUGUCUUUUUGCUGAUAGUUCCUGGAGGGAUUUUUAUGCCUUUAGGACAAAUUAUCUGAUGAACCUGCAAUAAAAAGCAGGACUUAGUCCUAGAGAACAAGAUUCCAAGUGGGUCUUUAAAUUCCACAGCCAAAGCAUCUUUAUGUGGUAAGGAGCAGCACACGAGGCCUUCAGAUGAGACAUUUUCCACAGGAUGAGAAUUCAGUGAAAAUGUAUUUUGAAAAUCCUGCCCUCACUUGAUAUUUAUUCUGCUAUCCAUUUGCAUGCAUUGUCUUUGAGACCAUAUAUUCUAUACCAUGUUAUUGGACAGUGAUAAAUGGCUCAACAAAGUUAAAAUUUAAUGAGAAAAGGGCAAUGAGAUGUUGUGCUUUUAUAAUGACUUAUCUGGCUUGUACAGAUAAGAUUGCGUAUGAAAUAUAAUAAUGUUAUCAAUGUAAUCUAUGUUACUUUGGACAUUACCAUACUUAUGAUUCAUUAACAGUAACUGUUUUGCUAUGUAGCUUUCUGUACUGGUUAUGUUGCUUGGCAACAUUAACUCCAAGAUAAUGAUGUCUUACUGCCUGUGAUUAAAUAAUGCUUUUUCCCCCAUAUUGUUUAUGAUAUAUCUAGCUUAUUUAUUUUCUUGUUUGCAAACUCUGUUCCUUAUUUUUCAUGCCAAAUAUAGCAAGGUAUGUAUACGUUCCUUGAAUAAUUCUGUGCUUAAAAUUCACCGCAUAUAUUCCCCUACUAAAGUGAAUGCAAAUAGCAAAAUAGUAUGAUGGAAAAAUAAAACCAGUGCACAAUAAUGCGAAGAACAUAAAAUGGAGAAGCAGUCUGUAGAACUACUGCUGAUACUGCUGAAUAAAUCCUUAAAGCCUUUUCAGCAGAAGUGCGUUGCUAAUAACCAUGGAUAAUGCCCUAGUUCUAUGAUUUAAUUCUCCUCUUAAAUAAAUAAAUAGGAAGCUAUGGGGCUUGCCCAUAUGCAGUGCUAAACUUUGGAACUUGACCAAGAAAAGUGAAAUACUAUACGCUGAAGGGUAGUAAAUGUCUUCUGAUGCUAUUAGUAGAUGGAUCAAUGUAGUUUAAUAGUAUUUACAGUAGUACAUUGGACCUCCAUGUUAACAGUAUUCUGUACUAAUACCUGAAGCAUAGCACACAUUAAAAUUGAUAUCGGGUGGCUAUUGAACAUAUUUUAAAUGAUUCCGUUAAUUCCUGCAGAGCUUAUCACCAUGGUGACAGCGACAGAAAUUGAACAAACAGGAAAAAAAUUCAGAAUUGAUCCAUCCUAAAUGAGAUUCCAAUGGGAUUUAGAGUCAUGCUUAAAAACUGGGAGCCAAAUAUAAGAGUGAGCGCUCUUCAGCUGAUAGUAUACCCCAUAUCUCCUCCAAGGAGGGCUUCUGUCUGCAGGUUUGGUCCCUGCAUCAUACAUUGCUUUCCAGAUGGCACCACCUAGGAAGUGAUGGUUUUGGAACAGAGGCCUAGAUAGUAAGCUGUGUGCUUCCAAUGUACUGGCAUUAAAUCAAUAAUUCUUUGUGGUUUUGUCAUCUGUAACUGAAGUGUUAAUACUGGUAUGGAUGCAGUAUGAGUGGAAAUGUGCAUGUGACAGCACCAGAAAUUACAGCCAAGUAAAUGUUAAAAGACUGGGACUUGUACCAAACACUCAGCGUGCUGCUCCCAAGGCUCUUUACUCAGGUGUAACGAUGUUGUUAAAUCCACAUGAGAACAUCAGCCCUCUACAAGACUCCACAGCACAGAGGAAGACCUAGGAGGGUGGCAGAAAGUUGCAGCAUGUCAUGCAUACCAAUCCUUUAAGGUUUUCCAACAGGACAGUGUGCCCUUCAAACCAACAAGGAAAAAUGGAGGACGCACAGAAAGCUUGGCUACAACCUACGGAGCUACUGGAGUCAGAAACAAAGCACUGACUGCCAAAACAGCUCUUCAGCCUCUCCAGGUCUUGUUGAAUGGCAGCACAGCCAUCUGGUAUGUCAGUCACCUGGCUUCGUAUCAUCAGCAAACUUGCUGAGGGUGGACUCUAUCCUUCAUCCAGAUUGUUGAUGAAGAUGUUCAAGAAGAUCAGAUCCAGCGCUGACCCCUGGAGAAUGUCACUAGUUACAGGUCUCCAACAAGGCUCUGAGCCUCUGAUCACAACCCUCUGAGUUCUGCCUGUUCUCAAUCCACACUUCCUAAGCUUACCUAUGAGGAUGUUAUGGGAGACAAUGUCAAAAGCCUUGCUGAAACCAAGGACGGAUAUUGCAGUCUCAUUAUAAGCAGGCUUCUGCUUCUCCUUAAGAGAAAUAAAGACCUAAUAACACUGUUUCUCAAAGACUAAAACUAGGCAACAGCCCCACAUUUUCCCCAGAACUCUUUUUGCUGCUGAUAGACCUGUUGAAGCUCAUUGUCUUGUACUUCACAUCCACGGAUUCAACUCCAGAUGGGCCUCCGUUUAAAUGUAACAGGAAUGCGUAAUACUUUUGGAGGAGACAAAAUAUCAUCAUCACUCAGCUGGGGCUUCUGUGACAAGACCCGGAACCAAAGAGUUUGUCUCAAAAAUUCUCCAAGUGGAGCAGUCCGUCUGUGUCCUGAGGAAGCUGAGCCACCAUGGAGGUUCAUGACCCCAUUUGCAUGCAGCAAACCAGGCUUCCAGCCCAGCAGACUGUGGUUAAUGUUUGCAGAUCUAGAGGAUUAUGCUGUUGACUGCUCGGUUAAACACGUGAUGUAAAAUAUCCUCACUUCCCAGCAAGAGUUUGUUUUGGACCAGCAUACGUUUGGCAAUUAUUAAUUUUACCAAAUGCUGUAUCAAAAUGGCAUAUUAACGGUGAAGGUUACUGUUGAUAUCAGCUGUUUUCUUCUCCUUAAAACUACACCUACUCUCAGUACUGUCUUGAGUCCUUGACCUAAAGCUGGAGAGGUCUUAUUUGAGUCACCACGUGGUUGUGAAUUAAAAUUUCUUAGGCAGGGAAUUUUUGUGGACAUAAUAACUAAGUCUAGUCUACUUCCAUCAAGUUAUAUCAGUCCUUGCAAGUGUGAUAGCUGUGGCCUGAAAGCUGUUUUCUUAGGGAUGGUAGUUCCAUUUUAUGCUAAUGUUUUGGUGACAUCCUUCAUUACGUAUCCUUUAACACUCUUACAUUCUUGAUCAAAGCACACGAAAGCCCACAGAAAUUCUCUCAAACCUUUAUUUCAUUUAGUGCAAGUGCCAUGGGCAUCACAAUCACUUAAACAUUCUUUCUAAAUGUCUGUCAGAUUGCAUUUCGUAUUGGUCUGACCGAACUUCCCCACAUCUGAAAGGUCAUGUCAGGCUUCAUUCACUGCAAGUCAGCAUAGCCUCUGCUGACAGCCUGCAGAUAUCUGCAGAUCUCGUGAAGGUAGCUACAUGCCUUGGUUUGUUGUUGCUGGAAUUUGACCGAUAAGAUUAAACCUUGCCUCCGUUUUCAGCCUGCAGAGGCAGAUUCUUAAGGCAAUCAACUCAAACAUUGUUCUUCUCUAAUGCUGUCUUUCUUCUUCCUUAUGUUUCAGCGUAGUACUGAAAUAUUUGUGAUUUCUGAAAGUCUUGCUGGUUUUUCCUUAUUUAAAAACAAUACUGUCUCUGGCUGCUGAUAUAACUCUCGUUAACGCCCCUUGUUAUCGCUUCCCAUUUGGAACUAUUCUUGAUCUGCUUUUCCUUUUGGAAGCGGUCUCUUUAUAAAAGCCUUUUACACAAAGGGGGAAUCUUGUAAUGUUUUUGAAAAAAUCUGAUUUCAUUUCUCAUUAUCACUUCAUCUGAACCUGGAGCUCAUCUUCUUGGAUUCAGGUAGUUCCUUAUCCCAUCUUAGUUUUCCUUUUCAAGAUAUUACUUUUACAAUUGGAAUUUGACAUCCCUUUUGAAACAGCACUUAGAACUGUAGAUGGUAUUCAACCAUCAUGAAAGGCAGCUGGCUCUUUACGUGCAGAGAUUACCCCUUGGGAAUAAAGACUUCUCUCCAGUCCUGCUCAGAUGCAGGAAUAUACUGGGAAAAUGUAACCGGACUCUUGCAUCAGACCAGUUUUGACAGUUUUAUGCAGUUCACAUAUAUUUGGCUACUGUACAAGAAAAAGAAACUGUAUGCUUUAGGUAAUGUAAACUUUACUAUCAUAAAAAUAUCACUGCUGAAUCGCUGCAGUAUUUCAUUUGAACAGCACGAUGUGAAACUGCAUGUAGAAGGUGAUGGGCAAUUGAACAUAGAAAGAAAGGUAGACAGAUCUUGUUUGAGUCUGGAUGAUACGUAUAUAAAAGUUUGCUGGCAGUUACAUCCAUAAACAAACACUUUGGCAAGAGCUGCUGUUAUUGGUUCAAAGGAAAGAAAAGAAUUCUUAGUCUCUACUCUCACUACAACUCCCUGAAAGGAGGCUGUGUGAGGUGGGGUUGGCCUCUGCUCCCAGGGAACAGCCACAGGACGAGAGGGGAUGGCCUGACGUUGUGCCAGGGGAGGUUCAGGUUGGCUGUUAGGAACAAUUCCUUCUCCCAAAGAGCGGUGAGGCAGCGGCACAGCUGCCCAGGGAGUGGUGGGGUCACCGUCCCUGGAGGUGUUCAGGAGCCAUACAGAUGUGACACUGAGGGAUGUGGUCAGUGGGCACAGUGGGGUGGGCUGGAGUUGGACUUGAUGAUCUUUGAGGUCUUUUCCAACCUUCGUGAUUCUAUAAUCAAGUAAAGUCAGUUGUACCAACAAAAAUACUUUGAUAUCAGCAUUAUUGUGCUUAUAUUGGAGCAGCAGUGAAGAAUUCGUAUAAAAAUACCCUGAGAAUAAUAUUCACUAGUGUUUCUAAAUCAGAACUUUUUUUUAGU
rnacentral:lncRNA from 1 species